rnacentral:lncRNA from 13 species
GACUGAGCAAAGCAGCAGGAAGGCUGCCGCCACCUGGAAAACACUUCUGACCCCAGGUCAGCCCUGGACCACCAGGCAGGCAUGGCUGCCAGUCACUGUAUGUGAACUGAGCACCUGCCAGCUCCAGGAAUGCGGGGUCUGCGAGGGGCCUGACCUCAGCCCAUGGGCACUGCCCACUCACCCCUGAACACCAGCCUGAGGUCAGCUGCCUCCAGACACUGACUCCUCCAACUCAAGAGUCUCACUUUGUCACCCAGGCUGGAGUGCAGUGGCAUGAUCAUAGCUGACUGCAGCCUCGACCUCCCGGGCUCAAAUGAUCCUCCCGCCUCAGGCUUCCUAGUAGCUGGGACUACAGGUGCAUGCCCCUACAUCCAGUUACUUCCUCCACUGGUCUUGAACCCUUUAAAGUCAUCCACAAGGUUGAAAUGAACUUCUUCCAAACUCCUGUUAAUGUUGAUAUUUUGACGUCCUCCCAUGAAUCAUGAAUAUUCUUAAUGGCAUCUAGAAUGGUGAGUCCUCUCCAGAAGGUUUUUUUCUUUUUUUUUUUUUUUUGAGACAGAGUCUUGCUCU